UGUGAGAGGGUGUUUGUGUGUGCGUGUUUGUUCGGGUCCUGUUAGUGUGCUGUUUGUGUGCGGGUGUUGUGUGUUUGUCAAGGUGCUGUUUGUAUGAGAGUGUGCUGUUUGUGUGUGGGUGCUGUGCGGGUGUUGUGUGUGGGUUUUGUGUGUUUGUGAGGAUGCUGUUAGUGUGCUGGGUGUGUGUGGGUGUUGUAUGUGUGUGGGUGCUGUGUGUGCGAGG